rnacentral:piRNA from 1 species
UCCGACCACCCUGCAGUCUCACCCCAGA